rnacentral:sRNA from 1 species
GCUCCCAUUGCAAUUUUGCUGGUUUAUAAUACCACCUAAUAGUUACCGAAUAACACCCUGAGGUGGUGCGUGACAGCGGGGAACCAAGCCAGUAAAAAAGGGUUCUGCGUCUAGGUAGUCAAACCAACUAACCUUCAAUAAACUUCCCAAGCUCAUCUUCAUCGAUCAGGUUUCUGAGCAGACGUCGGUCGACUCCGAUCCCUCUUAGGCUCUGUUGGGCCCUCGUCGUUCUUCUUGUCCUUCCUCUCGCCCAAACGACUUUUCUAUCUCGUCUUGUUCUUGUGCUUGAUGUGGCCCAGAUCAUAAGCCAGCAGCGUUGUUGUGCCAGAAGGAAUUCCUAGUUUGCCUGUCACAUCGUUGGCUACGGCGGGCUAACGCACUGGGUAACAACAACCUUGGCUCUUGUUCAGCCUGUCUGGAUCUCUCUCGUUGCCUCGCUCCUCGCCCAUACCCGCCUGCACUCCUCCCAACCCCAGAAUCUCAAAAGCAAAGCACCCAGAUUAAUCCUUAUCCUCUCUCGAUAAUUUGCCAUAGCCUACGUUCGUCUCUACCUCACAUCUCAUAACCUAUCUCCCCGCCAGACACCGUACAUCUUCGCUGCUUGUCAGAUCAUAACCAUCGUCGAACUUCUAUCUGUAUUUUGUGCCGCUCCGUCCGAUCAGUACAUGAACAUCGUUCGAUCUCAAAUUUGGCGGCUAGGCCGACACCCACUCUACGUGGAAGUUGAACACCUUCAAAGACCCUUCUUCACUAUCAGGGGUGUUUAUCGUGAUAUCGGUUGAUGCUUAGACCUAAAUCGCGCCGUCGGGAAGCCUUUUGAAGGUGGCUUUGAAGGCUUCCAUUCCCAAUAUGAACCCAGUCAACUUUGCCAACCAUGGAGGCCCGAUGCCGAUGGGAGAUAAACCGCCAUUUCCUCACAUCCAGAACCAACCGAAAAAUGAACCUACACAUCAGAUGCUACUGAAACAUAUAUUUGCGGCCCUUCAGUCACAGGGCCCAUUUCAAGGCUGGCAACGAGAUGUGCCGAUUCGAGACCGAGGCUCCAAGAUCUUUCAAAUCAUAUCCUCACUGCGCCUGGUUGAAAAUAACCUUCAAAAGAUAUUAACUGCCGCCGUGAACUACGAAGAAAAAGCUUUCAAACAAUCAAGUGACAGGGCUGAGUAUGAAAGAGAGUGCACCAACAAGUUGGGGCAGAUAAGAGAUAGUAGACAGCAACGAGCGGCGAACAUGAUGCAAAGUGGCAUGACGAUGUCACACGGUGGUCCUCAUCCCGGCAUAGCUACUCCUGCACAAAAUAAUGCCCAGCCAAAUGUGUUUCCUGGUCAAAUUCAACAACAGAUGCAAGGUUCUCCGAUGCAGAUUCAACCACAACCCCAACAGCCAGGAAUGAGAAUGGGCCUCCCGAAUCAACAAGCGCAGAUGCAUCACCCUGGCUUCCCCCAAAACGGACAACGAGUGAAUCCUGGCGCUUCUCGCGACGAAAUGGGCGGGCUCCAACCUCACGAAUUAGAACACGUCCGCCAGAGAGCAGAUCAGAUGAUGCAACAAGCUCCACCAGCUGUGAUACAGAAGCUUAGAUCAGGCUUUCAAAGUAUGAACCCCGAGCAACAACAGCGGGUGGCUCGCACAGGAGUAGAUCCGGUUCUAUACUUUUUCCGUCUACAAGCCGCAAAGGAACUUAAAAAGAAGACAAAUUCUCGAGAAAUGAUACUGCCUCAGAACCAGGUUCCCGACACUGGCAAUAAUACGAUCUCCAAUCAGUCGAUGAGCCCGCACCAGAGACAAAUACCUCAGUCACUUAUGGGCCUCCAAGGCAAUUCUACGAUUCCUGUGAGCGGACAUCAAAACCUUGACAAUGCAUAUGUAGGAAGUAUUGAUCAUAUACAAGGACAGCAGGCAGAUGGGGUCCGCUCACAAGAUGCAGGUCAACUUGUUGUUCCAGCCAGCGUUCCCCAGAUGGGGGUCCAGCCACAUUUUAAUAAUUCGCAGCUUGGUAUGUUUCCAGACGGGCAGCAAAAUACUAAUAGAGGAAAUAUCACACCUAUGAUUCUCGCGCAACAACAUCAACAACGGCAGAACAUGCAUAAUUCCCAACAAGAUACCGGGCCACAUGCUGCACAUUUCCAGGCUCAGGUGCAGGCUCAAGCUCAAGCACAGGCGCAGGUUCAGGCACAUGCCCAGAUUCAGGCCCAGGCGCAAGCUCAGGCGCAAGCUCAGGCACAAGCUCAGGCGCAAGCUCAGG